rnacentral:rRNA from 1 species
CCUACGGGAGGCAGCAGUGAGGAAUUUUCCGCAAUGGGCGAAAGCCUGACGGAGCAAUACCGCGUGAGGGAUGAAGGAUUUUGGUCUGUAAACCUCUUUUCUCAAGAAAGAAGUUCUGACGGUACUUGAGGAAUAAGCAUCGGCUAACUCCGUGCCAGCAGCCGCGGUAAUACGGGGGAUGCAAGCGUUAUCCGGAAUGAUUGGGCGUAAAGCGCCUGUAGGUUGUUUAUUAAGUCCGUUGUUAAAGCCUAGGGCUCAACCCUAGAAAAGCAAUGGAAACUAGUAGACUAGAGUAUGGCAGGGGUAGAGGGAAUUUCUAGUGUAGCGGUGAAAUGCGUAGAUAUUAGAAAGAACACCGGUGGCGAAAGCGCUCUACUGGACCAUUACUGACACUCAGAGGCGAAAGCUAGGGUAGCAAAAGGGAUUAGAUACCCCUGUAGUCCUAGCCGUAAACGAUGGAUACUAGAUGUUGUGCAUUAUGUACUAGUAUACGUAGACUACGUACGUUAAGUAUCCGUCCGUCGGGUAGGUACGUCGUCGCGAGGUAGGAAACGUUAAAGUAGUAAGUUAGUACGGCGUGAGUAACGUGUCCGACGGACGACGACGAGGGGAGGUUAGG